GAUGAACGCUGGCGGCGUGCCUAAUACAUGCAAGUCGAGCGAACAGACGAGGAGCUUGCUCCUCUGACGUUAGCGGCGGACGGGUGAGUAACACGUGGAUAACCUACCUAUAAGACUGGGAUAACUUCGGGAAACCGGAGCUAAUACCGGAUAAUAUAUUGAACCGCAUGGUUCAAUAGUGAAAGACGGUUUUGCUGUCACUUAUAGAUGGAUCCGCGCCGCAUUAGCUAGUUGGUAAGGUAACGGCUUACCAAGGCAACGAUGCGUAGCCGACCUGAGAGGGUGAUCGGCCACACGGAAACUGAGACACGGUCCAGACUCCUACGGAGGGCAGCAGUAGGGAAUCUGCCGCAAUGGGCGAAAGCCUGACGGAGCAACGCCGCGUGAGUGAUGAAGGUCUUCGGAUCGUAAAACUCUGUUAUUAGGGAAGAACAAAUGUGUAAGUAACUAUGCACGUCUGGACGGUACCAAAUCAGAAAGCCACGGCUAACUACGG
rnacentral:rRNA from 1 species